AUAUUGUUACCAAGGAGAGAUGGUUAGCACUCUCCUUGACAAGGACGGAAGAGGCCCUUGGGCCUAACAACACGCAUACGGUUAAGGCAUUGUCAUCUACUUCCGUUUGGUUUU
ensembl:snRNA